AGGCUAUAGUUUAAUUAAAAUAUUAGGUUUGGAUACUAAAGAUUCGUUUGGA
rnacentral:tRNA from 1 species